rnacentral:rRNA from 1 species
UUUCUUGAUUAGUGGCGCACGGGUGAGUAAUGCAUAGAUAAUGUGCCCCUUAGUUCGGGAUAGCCACUGGAAACGGUGAUUAAUACCGGAUACUCCUUCUUGUUAUAAGACAAGUCGGGAAAGUUUUUCGCUAAGGGAUCAGUCUAUGUUCCAUCAGCUUGUUGGUGAGGUAAUGGCUCACCAAGGCUAUGACGGAUAUCUGGUUUGAGAGGAUGAUCAGACACACUGGAACUGAGACACGGUCCAGACUCCUACGGGAGGCAGCAGUGAGGAAUAUUGCACAAUGGAGGAAACUCUGAUGCAGCAACGCCGCGUGGAGGAUGACGCAUUUCGGUGUGUAAACUCCUUUUAUUAGGGAAGAUAAUGACGGUACCUAAUGAAUAAGCACCGGCUAACUCCGUGCCAGCAGCCGCGGUAAUACGGAGGGUGCAAGCGUUACUCGGAAUCACUGGGCGUAAAGGGUGCGUAGGCUGGCUUUUAAGUCAGAUGUGAAAUCCAAUGGCUCAACCAUUGAACUGCAUUUGAAACUGAAAGCCUAGAGUUCAGAAGGGGCAGAUGGAAUUAGUGGUGUAGGGGUAAAAUCCGUAGAUAUCACUAGGAAUAUCAAAAGCGAAGGCGAUCUGCUGGGAUGAUAC